rnacentral:lncRNA from 1 species
ACUCAUCACCCCCCCACCCAAACCAAAAAAAGAAAGUUACAGAGUUGAUGCUUAACUCCUCUACUCCACCUCUUGCUGAACAAGGAUAUAGGCUGUAUUGAGGGACAGAAGAGAGAUUAAAUUAGACAUAAGCUGUGCGACCUCUUGUGCUAUAGUUCUCUUCAAGACACGGUUGUGGUACAAAGCACCAAUUUCCUUGUACCACGUGGCAUGC